ensembl:lncRNA MIR9-3HG MIR9-3 host gene
AGAGCCCAGAGAAGCGGCGCGCGGCCAGGAGCCCCCGCUCCGCCACUGCCGUGCCUGCCUCCCGCAGCUGUCUGCCAUGCGCUCGCCGGGGCAGGGGCGCCCGGAGGGCGGCUAGAGCUGGGCCUGAGCCCGGGAACGCGCCUGAUCAGGGGUGGCGGAGCCGCGGUCCCCACAGCCGCCCCACCCGCGCCGCUGCCUCGCUGGGGCCCGGGCCCCCUUCCCGGUCCCUGUAUGAGUGCCACAGAGCCGUCAUAAAGCUAGAUAACCGAAAGUAGAAAUGAUUCUCACAACUUCUGCGUGCGAGCGCCCGCCCCACCGACCGCCCCGGCCCGGCCCGCAAGAGCCAGAGGAGCCGAGAGGAGCCCAGCGCCGGCCCAGCGGACUCCAGCUCGACGGAGCGGCCGCGCCCCGACCAGUUACUCCCCUGCUGGUGCCUCCCUCCUUGGCGCGCUUCCCACCUGCGAUCGGCGCCCUCUUCGCAGUCACGAACUCGCCAGCAGCUAGCAGCACUGACUAGUAGGAGGGCCCGCCGGAGGAGAGGAAGCCCCAGAGAGAUUGGUGAGGGUGAUUUCCCAGGAAGACGCAGUGUGCUCUGACUUCUGUGACAGUGAGCAACGGGACCAGUGGAUGUCCAGAUGCUGGCAAUGAGACAUGCUCUGGAGUCAGAAGACAGCGAAAAGAGAAGCAGAAGCCCCGGUGGCAAGAGUCUGAAGCUGGAAAGGAGGAGAACAUGAAACAUUGCUUGAAGACAAUGGCCGAGACAGCAGGUCCCACCCUGCACAGCCACCAGCAUCUCUCCCCUCAGCCCUGUCUCCUCUUCUGCAGUUGGGAUCUGCACAUUUAAGCCUGAAAUUGUCCUGUGAAGUGAAGUAUGAUCGGACAGCCUCUUUUCAGCUUUUAUGACAAUGGAGACAGAGGAAUUGUGGCUCUUGCCAAGGUCACAGGAUUGGAAUACAGAGCCAAGCCACCCCAGGACAUGCAAGAGCCUCAGAAGGGAAAAAAGCCCAGCAGGAAGGGAGAACAAGUAGCCUCUGUCCUGAAGUUGUAACAGCCAGGGGCCAGGAUGGAGGAGGAGGACCCCAUAAUCUGCCCAUCUGGGACUUGGCAGGGGACCUGGGAAAAUGUACCCCAACCCAUCCCUUAAGGGCCUUUGUCUUUGGCCCAUUGGCCUAGCAUCUACUUCUUCACCGUGUCUGUUCUUGUCACACCUAGUCAGGUCUGUUUGGGUCUGAGGUGCAUGGAACAUUCUGGGUAGGCCUCCAGCAAACGGAAGCUCUUCACCGUGUUUCCAGCCUGGGACCAAGGGCAGCAUACUGGCAAAGUUGCCAAAGCAAGGGACUCCAGCCUCUUAGGAGUUAAUGACUCCCUCUCCCCAGCUGUCCUCCCCUUGGUGCUCCUCUUCCUCCCUCCUCCUGCUCACAGCAGGCAGGGCCUAGACCCGGGAGCCAUGCUGCUGUGCUGUUGCCAGGGGAGCACGGAGGCAGAUCUGAGCUAUGCAGGGAAAAGGCCCAGCCUGUCAAAGUGUCUGAGAUGAACCGCCGCCGUCCCUGUGCAGCUGGGCUCAGACGUGUCUCAGCUCUUGUUCUGUGCCUGAGAAUGGCGAAACCCAGUGAGGUUCAAGGGCAAACUCGCUAUUCAUUAGUCAGGGGUUCUUGACGUCCCGUCUCUCCCAGGGAUGAGUUCCCCCCUCCUCUUUCUCCCCCUCCUAUGACACAUUCCUGGGUGCCUUUGGUGAGGACUGCACACCCUCCUCCUGCCUAGCCCCCUCUCCAAAGGCCCCUGAAUAAACUCCCCCCAAGGAGACCAGGCAGGGCAGAGACAAUGGCUGCAGGAAAUCAUUCAGGCGGGACAUGCUGGCCUGCCCUCCACCCAGUCCCCCUGUGGGCCCCACUCCCUUCUGAUUCAGGGCACCCUUGGGCCCCCAGCCUAUACAGGCCUGGACAGGAAGAAACCACUGGGAACCACCCUAAGGACAACAUGCUAGUCCAGUGCCAUUCUUCGCUGGCUCUGUGGGUGCCUUUGUGGCCUGUACCGACUGGCUGGCUAAUUUUGUGGUUUCUGUACCAUCACAUGCCUAUUUUAAGACACUCUCCAGCACUGUCGGUUAGGGAGUGUAAAUUUUGCAAUAUUUUCUGAAAUGUGGCAAUAUCAAAAUGUAAAAGGCACACAUACUUGGUCACAAACAAAUGGCACUAUUUACUCUGUGGGCAUAUUUGUAAAAGUUGCCAAAGAAUUAUAUACAAGGAUGUUCAUCAGAGCAUUUCUUUUGAAGAGUAAAGAAAUGGACAUGAACCUGUGGUCCGUUCAUACGGUGGAAUACCUAUGCAGCUGUAAAAAUCAGUGUGGUAGAUCUCCGUAUAUGAGUUGAUGUGGAAGGUUGGCCAGUUCACAUGAUAAGGUGAAUAGAAUAAGUUACAGAACAGGCUGUAGAGUAUGAUCUUAUUUGUAGAUGUUUAAAACUGAGUCAUAAGUAUGCUUAUAUACAGAUCGUUUCUGGAAGUAUGUACUGGAAGUCUACCUCUGGGGAGUGGGGAUGGGGGAGUGCACUCUUCUAUACUGUUAUAUUUUCUUUUCAUGCUCCUAAGGUACUUUUAUUGGAAGAUGUAAAGCGGUUCAAUGUAAUAGGCUUAACUUCUGUCAACUAAGUUGGCGUGGGUGCUUUAAGAGGGUGGUAGUGAUGUUGCUGGAGAAAGUAUCCCACAGUCACUGGUGGCUUCAGCCACGGGCCAUUUUGGGGCCUAAUAAUCACAUAUCAUCAUGGUUGCUAGUGUUAAUCGAAAACCUACUAAGUGCCAGGCUUACUGUCUCUGGGUCUUGCUUACGUGGAUGUCAUUUUUCCAGUUGCACCAAAUCGAAAGAGGUUAAUUGGUUUGUUGGAGUUCCUUUGUAGGUGAAGGGCAGAGCCAGGAGCUUGGCUAGGGACAGGGGAGGUGAGUGGGGGAUGGUGGAUAGGUCUUGGCUCCCAGUUUCCUUCUGGGCAGACAUUGCCCCUCUGCCCUGAGGACCUGCUUGUUUGGGGGAAGAGGCCUUUAGAGGCACCAGGGUCAUGCCAGGUGUUGGACAUGGUGAACUGGGAAGUGCUCCCAUCUGGCCACAGCGCAGAAGUAUCACCGUGCUGGGGGAUGGGGAACAGGGCUGUGAAUGGGCCUAUUUGCAUAAGCAGCAUGUGUCUGGAGAGAAAGACAUCACAGAGCAGAAGAGUGCGGGUGCCCAGGAGUGCACUUGCCACCCCUACUUCAUCCCUGAAAGAGUAAAUGGCCUGGAAGGUGUCUCUGAGAGGUAAUGCCGCACACCACCCUCCCUGGGGGCAGGGUCAGGCUACACCUGCCUUAGGUCGGGGGCUGCAGCAGCCUGAGAGCUCUCAGUAGGGCCUCAGUAGCCUGGGAGGGAGCAGGGGCAGGGGGCAGGGAAAGAGGCGUAAUGGGGCUGUCCAGAGGGGCCUGGGAAACCUGGUCCCUGAGGCCUGGGCACAGCUACAAUCACUUCAAAUUGGCUGUGGGGCCAGUGGACUGGGAAGGAAAAAAGCAAUAAGAGUGACCAAGUGCAGAAGGCUGUCAGGUCCCAGGUCACAUGCCUUAGUGCAGUGACUCCUCAUCAUUUUAUGGGGUGUGGGUGUCGUUGGUACACCCAUUUUACAGAUGAGGACACCGAGGCCCAGAAAAGUUAAGUUACAUGUCCUAAGUCACACAGCUUGUAAGUGCCAGAACUGAGAUCAAAACCAAGUCUCUUUGACUUUAAAGUCUGUACUCUGACCCCAAAGAGAUCCUGUUUGGCCACUUAUAGGAGGUCCCUAAAGCUGCAGACUCCCCUUGCCGGCACCCACAUAUAGAGACAUUAACCCUUCCCCUGCAGGGUCACCUCAAAUAGUCUUUUAGCUGGGCUUCUCCUGCAAUUCCACCUAAUGCCAUCCCCUGGGUUUUGCCCAAACCUGAACUGGGCAGUGGGGUGAGAGGAGGGGUUUACAGGGUUACAGAGCCUCAUACAGAUAGGAGCCCAUGGCUGCUGGUCAUCUGCAUUCCUGCAGGAUUGGCUGUUCCUUGGGGUCCUUGGCAGGAAAAUGAGGAUUGCUCCGAGGCCUGCUCCAGUACUUCCCAGAGGCUGGCCUGGUGUGGGGCUCUGGGAAGGCUGAGGCUGGAGAAGCGUAAGUAGGAGGGCAGAGAUGGCACUCAGGUAGCUUGAAUCACCAGGACCCUUCCAAGCCCCACAGGUUCUGAGGGAGUACUAGGGCCAGCUCUGGGAGAGGUCUCUUCCUAUGCUGUGAACCCCCUGCCUUUCUUGCAGCCUACAACGAAUAAAUUUUCUUUGCAA